AACCACUACCCUGUUUGGAAUUAUGCUUACCUAUCACAAGGAAUAGGACUAGAUAGAAAGUUUGGCUGGGGCGGCACACCUUCGAAAGAGCAGCGAAGGUGUCCUAAGUUGAGCUCAGUGAGGACAGAAAUCUCACGUUGAGGAUAAGGCCAAAAGCUCAAUUUACUGUGCCUUUUUGUACUAGGAUCAGUUACGAAAGUAAGGCCUAACGAUCCCUAAAUAGCCUCAGGUGCGUGAGGAUUGGGGUGACAGACAAGUUACCUCCGGGACAACUGGCUUGUGGCUGCUAAGAGAUCAAAUCAACGCAGCUUUUUGAUUCUUCGAUGUCGGCUCUUCCUAUCCUAGUGAUGUACAAGUUGCUAAGGGUCGGAUUGUUCACCCGUAUUAGGGAUCGUGAGCUGGGUUUAGACCGUCGUGAGCCAGGUUUGUUUUAUCCUACUGGAUAUAGCAUCAUGAUAGUAGAUUGAUUUAGUACGAGAGGAACUGUUGAUUAUGGCCUCUGGUUAGCGAUUAUCGGAAACGGUAUGUCGCGCAGCUACGCCGUCUGGGAUAAUGGCUGAAAGCCUCUUAAGCCAGAAGCCCAUCUAGAAAGUGAUGCACGUGAUGUUGGACCGAUACGAAUAAUCAUACUCAAAAGGUCCGCUUCAUAGGUAACCCAAUGUAGAAGACAUUGUGUGAACGAAGGUACUGUAAGCAGUGGAGUGGCAUUACGUCCACGACCUGUUGAGGUUCAGCUUCGCUUCUAGGUUUCC
rnacentral:ncRNA from 1 species